AUCUUUUUUCUUUCUUCCUCUUUUUCUUCUUCCUCCCCAACCAACGACAUUGGUCUUUCCUGCCACAUCGACCACCAGCUCAAGUUGUUGGUUCCCCAUGCUCCUCUCGCCUAAGAGGAAAGUAAUAUUCUUCUUAUUUCUUGUUUCUAUGGUGGAUUUAAAGAUUAGCCUUGAUUGCUAGCGUUCGAAGGAAAAGUAUAUUUGGCUAGAGAUGUAAAGUAUUUUAGGUAGAUCGAAUGCAUUAUGAAACUUCGAUUGAAUGCGUCCGAAUGUAGUUGCAUGUGCUAUAUGUUUAAGUCAAUUAGCUAUAAAUUUGAGUUGGUGUGUUUAAGUUUAGGUUACAUUUGGUCAACAUAUUUAUAUUUUAGUUUGAUAGUUAUAAUGCUUAGGCUUAAUUUUAGUGUAUUUAGUUUGUGAGUAUAGGUUAUAUGUCUACAUGUACAUUAAUUUAAAAUACUUAGAUUGUUGUAUAAAGACAAAGAAACUUGUUUUUUAUAAUCUUAUAUUUAGAUAGAUGGAGGACAUGUGGUGGGAGAAGUGGCGAAAACAGGGCCAUCUGAUUUAUACCUGAAUGAAUCUUGCGAGGAUGAACCUAUACCUUUUGAGCUAUUGGUGCCUAACUAUGACUGUGAUGAGCCAGACCACAAUCAAGGCAUCCAGACAAAGUUGCUCAUGCGCCUUCAAGGAUGCACUUGUCCCCCUGAGCCACUGAUGUCUAACUAACUGUGAUAAGCCAGACCACAUGUUUCAAUCGAGCAUCCAUACAUAAUUGCACAUUGCUUGGUUAUUUUAAUGUAAGUAAUUAUGUGCAAAUAUUUAAUUUCAAGUUCCUUG
rnacentral:lncRNA from 7 species